rnacentral:rRNA from 1 species
UACGGAGGGUGCAAGCGUUAUCCGGAUUCACUGGGUUUAAAGGGUGCGUAGGCGGGCUUGUAAGUCAGUGGUGAAAGCCCGGGGCUUAACUCCGGAAUUGCCGUUGAUACUGCAAGCCUUGAGUACGGUUGAGGUGGGCGGAAUACAUCAUGUAGAGGUGAAAUUCUUAGAUAUGAUGUAGAACACCGAUUGCGAAGGCAGCUCACUAAAGCGUAACUGACGCUGAGGCACGAAAGCAUGGGGAUCAAACAGG